CAUUAUAGGAAGUCAUUUUAGUGUAACUUAUGUUAACUUUUUUGAGGAACUUAAGUAGACUUCCAUUUGGCCUUAUAUGACAUUGGACAUCACGACCAGACGGAUGUGGGGAGGUCAGACCCCGCGAUGGUCAUGGAAGUUGCAUCUACCGGUCACAUCGGUGUUCACAUCAUACACAUACUCAAGUCCCUGCAGCUCAUACAACUCUUGUGUGGAGGAAGUACAGGCAUGACCACGUUAUUUGGAGAGACACGCUACUCGGAUUAGAAAUUGUCCAGCUGUGCGAUACAAUUUCCUGAUCGGAGGAGAUGGGUCAAUCUAUGAAGGUCGGGGUUGGUAUAGCCGUCCAAGUCUACCACCCAAGUAUACUAUGUACAACAAACGCAGCUUGUAUAUCGGUCUGAUAGGCAUUUUCGCAGAAUCUCCACCAAGUGAUCAAAUGUACCAAAGCCAGGAUAACCUCAUAGGAUUCGGGAUGGACUAUUCACUUAUUUCAAAAAUACACUUGGCCUUUACAAUUAGACCUGCUGGAAGGGGUAUUUUAACAGAAGUACUUUAGUUAUGGCUCAUUUUCUAUGUAGUGAUCUCUUUUAAUAUUAAUUUGGCCGUCCACUUAAACCGAAGGUGUGUGGAACCGACGAUGACAUGUUUUUAGGCGAGGUGUUAUUCAUUUAUGAAGAUUGUUUGUGGGCAUCGCUCACCUCGAUAGAACGUGUUAAGCCCCAUCUUAUCAAACAUUUUCAUGGACAAGUUUGAGCAGGAUGUAAUUAAGUAAUUUGAAACUAAACCUAGAUUCUGGUUACGGUAUGUUGAUGAUGUUUUUUACAUUUGGGAGGAUUCAAUGUCGAAACUUAUAAUGUUUAAGAAACACAUAAAAAGUCAGUUAGAGCCCAAAAAAAAUCUUCAAUAACAACUAUGACUUAAGAGAUAGACCAUAGAGUGUCAGGACACUCUAUUGUCUACCGAAAUCUGGAAAUUAUUUUACCAGGGUAAAAAAAAACUCAAAAUUUGGGUCUAAGAUAAUACUGUAAUUUUUUAAAAACACUACAACCAUGUCACUUAUUAGCAAUUUAAUUCUGUAAUUCCAUGGUGGUUUGUGGCAGUCACCGUUCAUACAGAAUAAUUGGCAGCAGAAAUACAAAAUUCGAAAUACAGUAUGAACAAUUUCUCUAUAAUCUAUGCAUAAUAUUCCAUUGUCUUUGUUUUCCUGGUUUGUAAGAAACCUUCAAUAAUAAUUUUCAUAGCAGUAGCAUUAAAUUCUGAAAAAUUUCACUACAAUUUUACAUGAUUUUGUUUUUGUAAGGUUUUUUUUAGUAAAGCAAAACACAUUGUGA